rnacentral:rRNA from 1 species
UCCGUAGGGCGCGAGCGUUGUCCGGAAUUAUUGGGCGUAAAGAGCUCGUAGGCGGCCUGUUGCGUCUGCUGUGAAAUCCCGGGGCUUACCCCCGGGCGUGCAGUGGAUACGGGCAGGCUGGAGGCAGGCAGGGGAGAAUGGAAUUCCCGGUGUAGCGGUGAAAUGCGCAGAUAUCGGGAGGAACACCGGUGGCGAAGGCGGUUCUCUGGGCCUGUUCUGACGCUGAGGAGCGAAAGCGUGGGGAGCGAACAGG